rnacentral:rRNA from 1 species
GCUUAAAGGGGCCGUAGCCGGACCGAUGUGGCUCCCGUGAAAUCCACGGGCAUAACCCGUGGGCGCGCGGGGGCUACUAUCGGUCUUGGGGACAGGAGAAGCUAGGAGUAUUCCGGGGGGAGCGGUGAAAUGCUGUAAUCCCCGGAGGACUACCCGCGGCGAAAGCGCCUAGCUAUCCUGCUCCCGACGGUGAGGGCCGAAAGCUGGGGGAUCAAAUGGGAUUAGAGACCCCAGUAGUCCCAGCUGUCAACGCUGCGGGCUAUCUGCCGGGAGGGCUUAGAGCCCUUUCGGUGGAGUAGGGAAGCCGUUAAGCCCGCCGCCUGGGGAGUACGGCCGCAAGGCUGAAACUUAAAGGAAUAGGCGGGGGGGCAUACAAGGGGUGGGGUGUGCGGUUUAAUGGGAACUGACACCGGAAACC